GGUAUCGUGCAAGGUUAAGCUGAUGAAGCGGAGCCGCAGCGAAAGCGAGUCUGAAUAGGGCGCCUUUAGUACGAUGCCGUAGACCCGAAACCGGGUGAUCUACCCAUGUCCAGGGUGAAGGUCGGGUAACACCGACUGGAGGCCCGAACCCACGCAAGUUGAAAAUUGCGGGGAUGAGGUGUGGGUAGGGGUGAAAUGCCAAUCGAAC
rnacentral:rRNA from 1 species